AUUAAAUUGCCAUUUUACUUGACUGAUUUUAAGUGUAAAUUUCUAAUACCUUUUUAAUGUUUCCUUCUAUAUUGUAAUUAACAGUAUAUUUUCUGUUGGGGGAAAUCCUUGUCCCUUAGGCUAUAAAGUAAUUAAGGACUCAUUCAUGAUAUAAAAUUUUGUUGCUCAGAAAAGAACAAAAGUAAAACUGCAUUAACGUUUUAUAUACAAUUGGAGGAGAAAUAGCAGAAUUGCGGCAGAUUUCAUUGUCUGUUAAUAAAAAUUAUAGAAACUUUUUCAUAUCUUUGGUGGAUAAUUCUGCUAGUCCUUGACUGUAAGUUAAGCAAUCUGAUGCAUUUUGAAGGGUGAAAAAUUAAUUUGAAAAAAUGUUAAUCAUCUGAAAAGUUAAAACAUUACUGACUAGAGAAGACAGUAUUUCAUCUUCUUAAUGUAAUUAUGGAAUAAUGGUCUUUAAUUUAGAAUAAGGAUUUCAAAGGGGUUCUAGAUUCUGCUUUCUUAUUUUCUAUCACUUUUGGAAGAACUAGUUUUCAACUCAGAUACCAAUACAAGGUAUUGAAAACGUAAAUAUCUUUUU
rnacentral:lncRNA from 1 species